rnacentral:rRNA from 1 species
CCUACGGGCGGCAGCAGUGGGGAAUAUUGCACAAUGGGCGCAAGCCUGAUGCAGCCAUGCCGCGUGUGUGAAGAAGGCCUUCGGGUUGUAAAGCACUUUCAGCGGGGAGGAAGGCGUUAAGGUUAAUAACCUUGGCGAUUGACGUUACCCGCAGAAGAAGCACCGGCUAACUCCGUGCCAGCAGCCGCGGUAAUACGGAGGGUGCAAGCGUUAAUCGGAAUUACUGGGCGGAAAGCGCACGCAGGCGGUCUGUCAAGUCGGAUGUGAAAUCCCCGGGCUCAACCUGGGAACUGCAUUCGAAACUGGCAGGCUAGAGUCUUGUAGAGGGGGGUAGAAUUCCAGGGGUAGCGGUGAAAUGCGUAGAGAUCGGGAGGAAUACCGGUGGCGAAGGCGGCCCCCUGGACAAAGACUGACGCUCAGGUGCGAAAGCGUGGGGAGCAAACAGGAUUAAUACCCUAGUAGUC